rnacentral:rRNA from 1 species
UACGUAGGGAGCAAGCGUUGUCCGGAAUCAUUGGGCGUAAAGCGCGCGUAGGCGGCCCCGUAAGUCCGCUGUGAAAGUCAAAGGCUCAACCUUUGAAAGCCGGUGGAUACUGUGGGGCUAGAGUACGGAAGAGGCGAGUGGAAUUCCUGGUGUAGCGGUGGAAUGCGCAGAUAUCAGGAGGAGCACCAAUAGCGAAGGCAGCUCGCUGGGACGUUACUGACGCUGAGGCGCGAAAGCGUGGGGAGCGAACAGG